rnacentral:rRNA from 1 species
UACGGGAGGCAGCAGUGGGGAAUAUUGCACAAUGGGCGCAAGCCUGAUGCAGCCAUGCCGCGUGUAUGAAGAAGGCCUUCGGGUUGUAAAGUACUUUCAGUCGUGAGGAAGGUGUUAAGGUUAAUAACCUUAGCAAUUGACGUUAGCGACAGAAGAAGCACCGGCUAACUCCGUGCCAGCAGCCGCGGUAAUACGGAGGGUGCGAGCGUUAAUCGGAAUUACUGGGCUAAAGGGCACGCAGGCGGUUAAUUAAGUUGGAUGUGAAAUCCCCGGGCUUAACCUGGGAAUGGCAUUCAAGACUGGUUAGCUAGAGUCUUGGUAGAGGGGGUAGAAUUCCAUGUGUAGCGGUGAAAUGCGUAGAGAUGUGAGGAAUACCGGUGGCGAAGGCGGCCCCUGGGACAAAGACUGACGCUCAUGUGCGAAAGCGUGGGGAGCGAAACAGGAUUUAGAUACC